UUGCCCUAGUAACGGCGAGUGAAGCGGCAACAGCUCAAAUUUGAAAUCUGGCGUCUUUGGCGUCCGAGUUGUAAUUUGCAGAGGGCGCUUUGGCAUUGGCAGCGGUCCAAGUUCCUUGGAACAGGACGUCACAGAGGGUGAGAAUCCCGUACGUGGUCGCUAGCCUUUACCGUGUAAAGCCCCUUCGACGAGUCGAGUUGUUUGGGAAUGCAGCUCUAAAUGGGAGGUAAAUUUCUUCUAAAGCUAAAUACUGGCCAGAGACCGAUAGCGCACAAGUAGAGUGAUCGAAAGAUGAAAAGCACUUUGGAAAGAGAGUUAAAAAGCACGUGAAAUUGUUGAAAGGGAAGCGCUUGCAGCCAGACUUGCCUGUAGUUGCUCAUCCGGGUUUUUACCCGGUGCACUCUUCUAUAGGCAGGCCAGCAUCAGUUUGGGCGGUUGGAUAAAGGUCUCUGUCAUGUACCUCUCUUCGGGGAGAACUUAUAGGGGAGACGACAUGCAACCAGCCUGGACUGAGGUCCGCGCAUCUGCUAGGAUGCUGGCGUAAUGGCUGUAAGCGGCCCGUCUUGAAACACGGACCAAGGAGUCUAACAUCUAUGCGAGUGUUUGGGUGUCAAGCCCGAGCGCGUAAUGAAAGUGAACGGAGGUGGGAACCCCUCGGGGUGCACCAUCGACCGAUCCUGAUGUCUUCGGAUGGAUUUGAGUAAGAGCAUAGCUGUUGGGACCCGAAAGAUGGUGAACUAUGCUUGAAUAGGGUGAAGCCAGAGGAAACUCUGGUGGAGGCUCGCAGCGGUUCUGACGUGCAAAUCGAUCGUCAAAUUUGGGCAUAGGGGCGAAAGACUAA
rnacentral:rRNA from 1 species